UAGGGUGACCAACUGUCCUGGUUUGCCUGUGACUGAGGAGUUUCCUGGGGUAUAAAACUUUGAGUGCUAAAACCUGGAAAGUC
rnacentral:miRNA from 1 species